rnacentral:ncRNA from 1 species
CAAAGACAUGGUCCUUACCUUUCUGUCAGCAUUAACUCAAAUUACACAUGCAAGUCUCCGCAGCCCCGUGAGUACGCCCCAACCCCCUAACUAGUGGAAGAGGAGAUGGUAUCAGGAACAAAUAAUUUAGCCCAAGACGCCUAGAUAAGCCACACCCUCAAGGGAACUCAGCAGUGAUAGACAUUAAGCCAUGGGUGAAAACCCGACUUAGUCGAAGUUAAGAGAGCCAGUAAAAUUCGUGCCAGCAACCGCGGUUAAACGAAUAGCUCUAGUUGACAGCACCGCGGCGUAAAGCGUGGUUAAGGAAAACAAAAAUAAAGCCAAAUGGCCCUUCGGCUGUCACACGCUUCUAGGAGCCCGAAACCCAAACACGAAAGUUGCUUUAACAAAAAUACCCGACCCCACGAAAGCUGAGAAACAAACUGGGAUUAGAUACCCCACUAUGCUCAGCCGUAAACCAAGACAUGUAAAUACAACAGAGUCCGCCCAAAUAUUACGAGCACUAGCUUAAAACCCAAAAGACCUGACGGUGCCUUAGACCCCCCUAGAGGAGCCUGUUCUAUAACCGAUAUUCCCCGUUAAACCUCACCAUUUUUAGCCAACCCAGCCUAUAUACCACCGUCGCCAGCUUACACCGUGAGGGUAUAAAAGUAAGCAAAAAGAGUACUACUCAGAACGUCAGGUCGAGGUGUAGCAAACGAAAUGGAAAGAAAUGGGCUACAUUUUCUAUAGCAGAAUAAUACGAAUAUGCAACAUGAAAUUAAUGCUUAAAGGAGGAUUUAGUAGUAAAAAGGAAAUAGAGUGUCCUUUUGAACCCGGCCCUGAGGCGCGUACACACCGCCCGUCACUCUCCCCAGUCAUCAAUGCAUAAAACAUAAUUAACACAAAAGCACCGACAAGGGGAGGCAAGUCGUAACAAGGUAAGUGUACCGGAAGGUGCACUUGGAUAAACC